GUCUGGGGUCUCCCCCUCCUUCCCUAUAGGGAUCAUUUAGGGUCUUCCAUUCCUCCCCUAUAGGGAGCAUUUGGGGUCUGGGGUCUCCCCCUCCUCCCUAUAGGGAGCAUUUGGGGUCUGGGGUCUUCCCCUCCUCCCUAUAGGGAGCAUUUGGGGUCUCCCCCUCCUCCCUAUAGAGAUCAUUUAGGGUCUUCCAUUCCUUCCCUAUAGGGAGCAUUUGGGGU
rnacentral:lncRNA from 1 species